rnacentral:lncRNA from 1 species
GUGGCGCCCCAGCGAAGGGGCAGUGCUGGCCACUCGUGUGGCCCUUUGGCUGCUGGCACCCAGUGAGAGGGGGGAGGCCAGGGACAGGUGGCAGCCAGGCUGCCCACAGGCCCUGGGCGGUGGGGGCCCGGCCCCUGUGCCUUGGGCAGCCUGGCCCUUGCUGAGGCGUGCUUGCGCGUGUCCGUUGUCGCCCUCACCCAGCUGCUGGGCGGAGAGACGGAGGCCAGCGCGGGGAGCGGAAGCCGGAGCCUGUCGGGAGCGACCCCGGGAAGGCCAGUCCCUCCUGCCGGAGGGAGGCGUGUUGGCGUGCGGCCGGUGGCGGGAUCGAUGGCCACCUGCUGCUGCGGCGGAGAAACGGAGGCCAGCGCGGGGAGCGGAAGCCGGAGCCUGUCGGGAGCGACCCCGGGAAGGCCAGUCCCUCCUGCCGGAGGGAGGCGUGUUGGCGUGCGGCCGGUGGCGGGAUCGAUGGCCACCUGGUAGGCGAUGGUAAGCGGCAGUGGCCUGCGCCAAGGUAGCCCCCGGGGGCGGUGUGUGGCGCCCGGACCCGCACCCUCUGCUCCCGGGGUGGAGCUGACCUGCUUGCCCGCGGUUGGGCUCGGGAGCCUGCGGGCCGCGGCCAGGAGGGAGCUGGCUGGCCGUCCCGGCGGUGGGGCUGUGGCGGUGGCCGUCCCGCGGGUGUGCCCGUGCUCGGAUCGAUGAUGACACCCACAAACGCAUUCCUUGGAAAAUCUGAACAAAAUGAGUGAGAACUCACUACCGUCUCCUCAUCGCAAACUGAGGUCCGGCACGUGGCUCCCACAGGGGACGUCGGGGAGGGUCCCGUUGCCUUGGCUCCCUUGGGUGCGUGCAGCCCUGGGGCGCAGGUGGGGGCAGGCAGG